GUCCAGGGGUGUGCCACAUGCGUUCUGAAGCCCCUGAAAUUGGAGUUACAGACCAUUGUGAGCUGCAGCGUUAGUGCUGGCAACUGAACCCAGGUUCUCUGCAGGAGCAAUCAGUGCUUUAACCUCUGAGUCAUCUCUCCAGCCCAGAGGCCCAUCUCUGACCUUGACAUCCUGUCACCAGGAUACUGGAACCUCGACUCCACAGAAGCAACCGUGACCUUCCUCAGAUUGUCUAAUGGCCCCAUCUAGAUGAUCUCAGGGAGGGAGGGAGGGAAGGAAGAGAGGAAAAGACAGCAGGAAUAGCAUGGUUAUUCAUAGCUUUAGAAGAUCUCUGGGAAUUUCUGGAAUGUUCUGUUUGUCUCUACCCCCACCCCCUUUGUUGUUGCUGCUGAAGGUCCAGGGAGAACUGACAUGCAGUUCUCAUUCUCUGCAUCCCCCAAAUGCUUUGCCAGCUCUACACAAGCAUUUUGGUGCAGAGUUUACAAAAUGAAAAGACUGUUAGAAGUCAGGGUGGAUGGAUAUGUUUCAAUAUGAUCUCUUGGCAUCCGCUCAGCCAAGGUGGCCCCUAGGUGUGGAGGGCGACGCACAUUCAAUGUCCUUUCACACCUCCUUCCACACUCAAGAGAUGCUCUGCUCAGCAACAUGCCAACUGGCUGGAUGCUGCUCUGUUCCCUUCUGCCGGCCUCUCUCAGCACAGGCUUUCAGCCUCAAAAAAGCGAGGUGUGUGGGCCUCUCCCUCCCUGUCCCAGAAUGAGCAGGUGUGGCAGAACUGCCUGGGAGCAGGCUUGCUUCAAAAAAAUAAUAGCUUCGAGAGUUGGCGCCUCCUGCACUCCAAAGAUGACAGCUCUCAGAGUCUUGCCCUGACCCACCAGGACUGUGGAAUGGAGAAGGGGGGGCACAUGGAGGAGAAGAAAAACUCUUGACACUUGCUGCAAAAAUCAGGCAAGACACCAGCUGCUGAAGGAGCCUGGGAAAAUCAGCUUGCCAGAAAUGAGCAGAUCUGCAGGUCAGCACAUAGGCAGCACCUUGCUCACUUGCCCAUAACGUACUUCACAGAGCCGAAGAACUUUCUGGAAAAGCAAAAAACUGCUUGUCAUUGCCCCAGGACUCUGAAUAUGGUUGAGUUCCGGUAAGAGCUCACUGGGCAGAGGAGUUCCCUCUUCAGUGUUACACAGCUUCACGGCAUUGCCACCAGAAUUGCACAAACUCGGUCCAGGCUGUGGAGCAAUAGGAAGUCAAAUGAACUCUCCGAGGCACACAGCUGGAAGACAGCAGGAGA